GCCGGACAUAUUUCUUAUCUUCAUAAAUCAGUGAUGCACAGAUUAUCUUAGCUAUAUUGUGAAUCUUGAUAACCUCACGAUGAACAAAUUUUGCGGCCUGUAUUUGGGAUAAUUCAAAUUGUUGCGAAAUGUGUUCGUCCAGGAAAAGUCACUACAUCAUAUGUCCUAGAUAAAUCUUUACUGAACAUUUUAGUUUUCCUCAUACAUGCUUAUCAUUUGGCAUAAUGUUAUUUUGCGAGCUUAAUUCUACCCUGAAUAUACAAACAAUCAGUUUGUUUAUUUUUUUUGCUGUCAUAAUAAGACCCUGAAACCAUCUUCCAUCAAACACAUAUCUGUAGUAUCUAUACUAUGUACAAGGUGCAGAUAGAUAUAUUUGUUGACCAAGCAAUUCCCCUCUUUUGAGACAAAGACCAAUAUAUGAUUACCCAUCCCCUGGUUUCCUUUCUAUUUUUUAUUCCAAUAUAACAUGAUGAGCUAUUCGUUGUUUUCUAAUUUCAGUGUAAUCUAAAAUCAGACUGUGCGAACAUAGAUGCAUUUAUUCACAAAUUAGCAAGCACCUGAGUGAAGAACCCUUAAAAUGUAUGGAAAAUGCAAUUACCACCGGCAAAUAAAUUGGCAUUUGUAUUCCAGGUAACAGUCCCGAAAAGAAAGAGGACUAUGGACCUGAGUGGGAAUGGAGGCAGGAUAUUCUUCUGGAUGGCUAUGUUGAGGUGGUGGUUGGUCCGAUCCAUGGUGUACGCAAAAUCGGUCAGCAUGGUGGAGUUGUGCUGUGGGGAGGACACUGGUUUGGAGAUCUAGGCGACUAUCUGCGUGCUGGGUGGAUCAGUAGCCCACCUCGGGAUAGAGGCAAGCGGCGCUUCACGUGUGCCUCGCCAUGCCACAACAGUGGCGUUGACAAUGUUUAAUCCUAAGACCACUAUUUUUGUGUCUAUAUGCAGUGUUCACUUUGUCUAUAUCUUGGCAAUGUUUAAUCAUAAAACCACUAAUUCUGUGUCUAUAUGCAGUGUUCACUUCAUCUAUAUCAUAUUUAUUUUAUAUGGCAAAUCAUCUUUCGAAAUUAACCAAGCCUAACUACACACUAGGAAUAUGGUGAAAACUAAUAUGAAACAACAACUUUUGUCACAUAUACCAAACCAAGGUUGCUUAUCAGUAAACACCUCAUUAUUUAGCAUAUGCUUUAGGGCCAAAUUAUGUUUCAUGUGCCAUUAUUAUUGCCUUUUUUAAUACAUUAUUUAAAUCCUUACGUGACACCAAUCUUAAACAGGUCCAUCUAUCAACGAUGUCGAGAAAGCUCUACCACAAGAAAGUGAUGACUCUGCCUGGUGUCACCGGCUUCAUGUUUUGCUCCUCCGUACCCAUAGACUAGAAGACUAGGGCUAUAUAGAUUGAUUUUUAAAACCAAUGUAAAUAAGUUGUUUUCGGCUAUCAUGCUACCUCGCAUUGUAAUAUAUAUUGCUAUGUAUGAACAUAUGCUACCCAAGUAUAUAUUUCCUUAUGCUUAAAUGACUUUCUUAUCGAUCUUAUAACAUAUCUUAUUUGUAUAGUUUGAAUACAUGGUUUUCUCUCGCUUUUUACGGCAUGGGCGCAACGGGAGUUGAUCACAAAGAGGUAGCAUUCAGGAUAUAUGCACAAAAGAGUAUAGAACCAAAUUAUAUAAUAUAAUUGACCACUAUUUCUAUUAACUUCUCAUGUACACAAUGUUCACGAGUACAUGUAUUAAGUACAUUUUAUUGUGGCACUUGUGUUUACUCUUUUUUUAAUGCAAGUUUACAGCUACUCGGUGUUCCUAAUUGCAGACUCAACUAUCUUAACCUACCGAUGAUCUAAUUUGUGGCAUUAUUACCUUAAGAAAUAUUUGCAUUUAAUUUCCUUUAUAUAUAGGGGUAUAAGUUCUUACCAAAUGUACUCAAAUAUACGGUUAUUGAAAAAAUGUAAAUAUUUUCAACACGAACAUGGUUUUAAACGGGUCUUUGCGCCAUUUGGCGCAACUGGUCAUCUAGUGAUUGCAAAAGCUGAAGCACUUGAGCUAUCUAGAAAAAACACUAAAACUACUUGCGGAUCAAGUGCCUCUUCAUCAAGAUAAAUCAUACUGUAGGUGAUGCCAUUUAUGAUCAUUCCCCUAUUCUGUAACUCCACUUGGUAAUUAGUUGAUAAUUAAAUAUGGGCUCAACCUGUGCUGCCAACAAGAGCGCCUAUACAAGGAAUGGAUCAGAAAAAACAAAGUAUACGGAACAUGAACCUAAGGAAGCAAACACAACAGGGUAUACGGAAACCUACAAUUUUACAAUCAAGCAAACAUAUUUCUGCAUAACAUCUGAUGCUCACUCAUCACCAUGAAAUUAGAUGAAUCUGUAACCCUUUUGUUGCUCUUGUGAACAUGAAACAGAGGCACCCAUUAAGAAACAAUAAACUUAAACAGGGGCUUCUAUGAGCUGAUUAGCGUUCAAAGAGGAUACACACCUCUGGUGUAGUGAAAGGAUCGAGAAGAGGUGUCUAGAGGGGGGUGAUUAGACACUAAGUGCCAAAAGCUAAAGUUUUUAAUAUUCCUAAAUUUAAGUGGAGUUUAAGCACAAGUUUAACAAACACAAUACAUAUCAAGCAAGCAUACAAUGAGUAUAUGAGCAGCGGAAAGUAAAGCAUGCAACUUGCAAGAAUGUAAAGAGAAGGGUUUGGAGUAUUCAAACGCAAUUGGAGACACGGAUGUUUUUGUCGUGGUUCCGAUAGGUGGUGCUAUCGUACAUCCACGUUGAUGGAGACUUCAACCCACGGAGGGUAACGGUUGCGCGAGUCCAUGGAGGGCUCCACCCACGAAGGCUCCACGAAGAAGCAACCUUGUCUAUUCCAUCACGGCCGUCGCCCACGAAGGACUUGCCUCACUAGCGGUAGAUCUUCACGAAGUAGGCGAUCUCCUUGCCCUUACAAACUCCUUGGUUCAAAUCCACAAUCUUGUUGGAGGCUCCCAAGUGACACCUAGGCAAUCUAGGAGACACCACUCUCCAAGAAGUAACAAAUGGUGUGUUGAUGAUGAACCCCUUGCUCUUGUGCUUCAAAUGAUUGUCUCCCCAACACUCAACUCUCUCUCACAGGAUUUGGAUUUGGUGGAAAGAACAUUUGAGUGGAAAGCAACUUGGGAAAGGCUAGAGAUCAAGAUUCAUAUGGUUGGAAUGGAAUAUCUUGACCUCAACACAAGUGUAGGUGGUUCUCUCUCAGAAAAUGUGUAUUGGAAGUGUAGGUAUGUUCUGAUGGCUCUCUCCACGAAUGAAGAGUGAGUGGAGGGGUAUAUAUAGCCUCCACACAAAAUCUAACCGUUACACACAAUUUGCCAAACUCGGUGGGACCGAAUGGUUAAACUCGGUCGGACCGAUUCAGUAAACUUAGUGACCGUUAGGAUUUUCGGUGGGACUGAGAUGCAACUCGGUAGGACCGAUAUGGUUAGGGUUAGGGCAUAACGUAAUCUCGAUGUGACCGAUUACACAAACUCGGUGGGACCAGUUUUGGUAAUAAGCUAACCAGAGAGUUGGUCAGGCAAACUCGGUGAGACCGAUUACACAAACUCGGUGGGACCAGUUUUGGUAAUAAGCUAACCAGAGGGUUUGCAUUGUAAUCUCGGUAGUACCGAUUGCUCAAACUCGGUGAGACCGAUUUUGGUAAUGGACAUACACAGAGAGAUUACAAUCCCAUCUCGGUGAGACCGAGAUCCCUAUUGGUGAAACCGAUUUGCUAGGGUUUAUGGCAGUGGCUAUGACAUCUAAAACUUGGUGGCGCCGGAUAGAUAGAAUCGGUGGGGCCGAGUUUGACUUUUGGUUUAGGUCAUAUGUGGAUGUGGGAAGGUAGUUGAGGGUUUUGGAGCAUAUCACUAUAUGACGCCCCCGAUUUAAUCGUACACUAAUCAUGCACGCAAAUGUGUACGAUCAAGAUCAGGGACUCACGGGAAGAUAUCACAACACAACUCUACAAAUAAAAUAAGUCAUACAAGCAUCAUAAUACAAGCCAGGGGCCUCGAGGGCUCGUAUACAAGUGCUCGAUCAUAGACGAGUCAGCGGAAGCAACAAUAUCUGAGUACAGACAUAAGUUAAACAGGGUGCCAUAAGAUGGCUAGCACAAACUGGGAUACAGAUCGAAAGAGGAGCAGGCCUCCUGCCUGGGAUCCUCCUAAACUACUCCAGGUCGUCGUCAGCGGGCUGCACGUAGUAGUAGGCACCUCCAGUGUAGUAGGGGUCGUCGUCGACGGUGGCGUCUGGCUCCUGGACUCCAGCAUCUGGUUGCGACAACCAGAAAGGAAGGAAGGGGAAAAAAGGGGGGGAGAAAGCAUCCGUGAGUACUCAUCCAAAGUACUCGCAAGCAAGGAACUACACUACAUAUGCAUGGGUAUAUGUGUAAGGAGGCCAUAUCAGUGGACUGAACUGCAGAAUGCCAGAAUAAGAGGGGGAUAACUAAUCCUGUCGAAGACUACGCUUCUCGCAGCCACCGUCUCGCAUCAAGUAGAAGAGAGUAGAUUGAAGUCCUCCAAGUAGCAUCUCUAAGUAGCGUCUCCAAGUAGCAUCUCCAGUAGCAUCUCCAAGUAGCAUCGCAUAGCAUAAUCCUACCCGGCGAUCCUCUCCUCGUCGCCCUGCGGAAAAGCGAUCACCGGGUUGUAUCUGGCACUUGGAAGGGUGUGUUUUAUUAAGUAUCCGGUUCUAGUUGUCAUAAGGUCAAGGUACAACUCCAAGUCGUCCUGUUACCGAAGAUCACGGCUAUUCGAAUAGAUUAACUUCCCUGCAGGGGUGCACCACAUAACCCAACACGCUUGAUCCCAUUUGGCCGGACACACUUUCCUGGGUCAUGCCCGGCCUCGGAAGAUCAACACGUCGCAGCCCCACCUAGGCACAACAGAGAGGCCAGCACGCCGGUCUAAACCUAAGCGCACAGGGGUCUGGGCCCAUCGCCCAUAGCACACCUGCACGUUGCGUACGCGGCCGAAAGCAGACCUAGCCUAGUGGCGUUCCAGUCCAAUUCGGCGCGCGCCGCUCCGUCGCUGACGUCUGAAGUGCUUCGGCUGAUACCACGACGUCGGGAUACCCAUAACUACUCCCACGUAGAUGGUUAGUGCGUAUAGGCUCGUAGCCGACUCAGAUCAAAUACCAAGUUCUCGUUAAGCGUGUUAAGUAUCCGCGAACGCCGAACAGGGCCAGGCCCACCUGUCUCCUAGGUGGUCACAACCUGCCCUGCCGCUCCGCCACAAAGUAACAGUCGAGGGCCAUCGGGAACCCAGGCCCACCUCUACCGGGAUGGAGCCACCUGUCCUUUCAGCCCCCUCGUCAGAAUCACUUGCGGGUACUCAAUGAGCUGACCCGACUUUAGUCACCAUCUGUAUAGUAUGUAUGUAUGUAUGUAUGUAUAGUAUAUACCCGUGAUCACCUCCCAAGUGAUCACGGCCCGAUAGUAUAGCAAGGCAGACUGACAAGAAUGUAGGGCCAAUGAUGAUAAACUAGCAUCCUAUACUAAGCAUUUAGGAUUGCAGGUAAGGUAUCAACAGAUGUAGCGACAAUGUCAGGCUAUGCAUCAGAAUAGGAUUAACGAAAGCAGUAACAUGCUACACUACUCUAAUGCAAGCAGUAUAGAGGAGAAUAGGCGAUAUCUGGUGAUCAAGGGGGGGGGCUUGCCUGGUUGCUCUGGCAAGAAGGAGGGGUCGUCAACUCCGUAGUCGAACUGGUCAGCAGCAGCGUCGGUCUCGUAGUCUACCGGAGAGAAGAGGGGGAAGAAAUAAUGAAUACAGAGCAAACAAAGCAUCACAAAAUAUAACAAGGCAAUACGCGGUGUUCGGUGUGCCCUAACGCGGUAGUAGGUGAUACCGGUGAAGGGGGGAAAACAUCCGGGAAAGUAUUCCCGGUGUUUCGUGUUUUCGGGCAGAGGAGCCGGAGGGGGAAAGUUGCGGGUUCGAUAGGUUAGAGGGGUGUGGCGGACGAACGGACUGCGUAUCCGGAAUCGUCUCGUCGUUCUGAGCAACUUUCAUGUUGAAAAUAUUUUAAUCCGAGUUACGGAUUAAAAGAUAUGAUUUUUUUAAAGAUUUUAUUAAUUUCUGGAAUUUAAUUAAUUAAUUAAUUAAUUAAUUAAUUCGAAAAAUGAAUUUAUGACGUCAGCAUGAUGUCAUGCUGACGUCAGCAGUCAACAGGGUUGACUUAGUCAACCCUGACAUGUGGGUCCAGUGGGACCCACCUGUCAUUCUCUAUUUAAAUUAAUUAGGGUUUAGGUUAAUCUAAUUACAGUUUAAUUAAACUUAACUAGUUAAUUAAAUUAAUUAUCUAGGAUUAAUUAACUUAAUUAUUUUAGUUAGUUAAUUAAGUUANNNNNNNNNNGACUCAGAUCAAAUACCAAGAUCUCGUUAAGCGUGUUAAGUAUCCGCGAACGCCGAACAGGGCCAGGCCCACCUGUCUCCUAGGUGGUCUCAACCUGCCCUGUCGCUCCACCACAAAGUAACAGUCGAGGGCCGUCGGGAACCCAGGCCCACCUCUACCGGGAUGGAGCCACCUGUCCUUUCAGCCCCCUCGUCAGAAUCACUUGCGGGUACUCAAUGAGCUGACCCGACUUUAGUCACCAUCUGUAUAGUAUGUAUGUAUGUAUAGUAUAUACCCGUGAUCACCUCCCAAGUGAUCACGGCCCGAUAGUAUAGCAAGGCAGACUGACAAGAAUGUAGGGCCAAUGAUGAUAAACUAGCAUCCUAUACUAAGCAUUUAGGAUUGCAGGUAAGGUAUCAACAGAUGUAGCGACAAUGUCAGGCUAUGCAUCAGAAUAGGAUUAACGAAAGCAGUAACAUGCUACACUACUCUAAUGCAAGCAGUAUAGAGGAGAAUAGGUGGUAUCUGGUGAUCAAGGGGGGGGGCUUGCCUGGUUGCUCAGACAAGGAGGGGUCGUCGGUGACGUAGUCGUACUCGGUGGCAUCAGCGUCGGUCUCGUAGUCUACCGGAGAUAAGAGGGGGAAGAAACAAUGAAUACAAUGCAAACAUAAACACGACGAUGCGUGACGUGACAAUGAGCGGUGCUAGGUGUGCCCUAACGUGGUAUGAGGUGGUACCGGUUAAGGGGGGAAACAUCCGGGAAGUAUUCCCGGUGUUUCACGUUUUCGGGCAGAGGAGCCGGAGCAGGAAAGUUGCGAGUUCGAUAGGUUAGGGGUGUGUGGCGGACGAACGGACUGCGUAUCCGGAAUCGUCUCUUCGUUCUGAGCAACUUUCAUGUACAAAGUUUUUCCAUCCGAGCUACGGUUUAUUUUAUAUUAAUUUUAAAAGAUUUAAAUCAUUUUUAGGAUUUAUUUAUUUAAUUUAAUCAACAUUAUCCAGAAUAGUGUCUGAUGACGUAGGCAUGACAUCAGGGUGAUGUCAGCAGUCAACUGUGCAGUUGACUGGGUCAACUAUGUGUGGGUCCCGCAUGUCAUUGACUGAUUAGGCUAAUCAGGGGUUAAUUAAGUUAACUAGUAAUCAGGUUAAUCUAAUCCUGAUUAAUUAAUUUAAUUUAAUUAAUUCUUUAAUUAAUUAAUUAAUUAAUUAUUUUUAUUUUUAUUUUUAAUUCUUCUCUCUUUUUUUUUAUUAAAACAUUUUGGGCAUGGGGCCCAUCUGUCAUAGGCCCCAGGGGCCAAACCGGAACGGGCGCAACUCGUAACGGGCGCAGGGGCGCCCGAUAGGGGCCAACCCGGGCGCUGGCCUCGGGCGAGACCAGCGGCGCGACGGGGCCAGCCCGGCCGCCGGCGGCGAGGCAGGAAGGGGCGUGGGGCGAGGUCNNNNNNNNNNAGGUUAAUCUAAUCCUGAUUAAUUAAUUUAAUUUAAUUAAUUCUUUAAUUAAUUAAUUAAUUAAUUAUUUUUAUUUUUAUUUUUAAUUCUUCUCUCUUUUUUUUAUUAAAACAUUUUGGGCAUGGGGCCCAUCUGUCAUAGGCCCCAGGGGCCAAACCGGAACGGGCGCUACUCGUAACGGGCGCAGGGGCGCCCGAUAGGGGCCAACCCGGGCGCUGGCCUCGGGCGAGACCAGCGGCGCGACGGGGCCAGCCCGGCCGCCGGCGGCGAGGCAGGAAGGGGCGUGGGGCGAGGUCGGGCCGCGGCGACUGCGGGAACCCAGGGGCGCGGGCACCGGACACAGCCGCGGGGGCGACGGCCACGGCGCGAGCGGGCAGGGGUGGUCGCGGGGUGGAGGGUGCUCGGAGUUGGCCGCGGGUGUAGCGGCGUCGCCGGUGCAGGGGGGAUUCGGUGGUCGCAUCGGAGGCGGCAGGGGCUGGGGGCCACGGCAGGUGCGGUGCGCGGGCACGGCGCGGUGAGCGCGCAACGGACGCGGCCGGAGCGCGUCAACCGGGGGCGAGCUCGGCGGGGACCGCGGAGACGAGCGCNNNNNNNNNNGUGGGGGGGAGUGGGAGGUCUCGUCCCCGAUCCAGACUGAGCGGAGAGGAGGAGGGGAUCGGGGCGAGGGGAUCGGGGGGAGGGGAAGUGGGGACGAGUGGGGGGGGAACCGCUAGGGUUUCGGUCGCCCCAGGGGGCUAUAGGCACCGGCUGGGCCGGCCUGGUUGGCCCAAAGGCCAGCUGGGCUGUGGCCCAGUGGGGGGGGUUCUUUCCCUCCUUUUUUUUUUGUUUCCUUUUCUUCUUUUUUUUAUUCUAUUUCUUUUCAGUUUUCUUUUAUUUUUGUUUUAUAAAAUAUAAAAGUUGUAUCUUAAAUAGUAACACUAAUUAUACCUCUGCCACAAAAAGGUUUAACCCCCAAAUAAUAUAGUUUAGUAUUUUAUAAAAUACCAACACACUUAUUUAUUAUUUUACCGACAGUUUUAAUUAAUUGAAUGCAUUUAGACAUUUUAUAAAAAUGUGGUUCCUCCACCAACAUUACUUAUGAAUUAUUUGUUACAUUUAGAACAUUUUAGUUUUGACUUUUGAAAACUUUAACUGUUUGACUUUAUUUUGAAUUUGAAUUUGAAUCGGUUUCGAACUAACUCGAGAUUAGCAACUAUAAACAAGGUGACGUGGCACCAUUAGCGGAGGAUCACUGUAGCUUAAUUACCCGGGCGUCACACACUAAGCACUUUGAGUAAGCAUGCCAUUAAGCAACACCUCAUCCCCUCUUGAUAGUAUUGGCUUUUCCUAUAGACUCAAUGUGAUCUUGGAUCACUAAAAUAGAAAAUAUAGUCUUGAUCUGAAGCUUGAGCCAAUCCUUUGUCCUUAGCAUCUUGAAGGGGUUCCACAUCCUCUAGUCCAUGCCACUCCAUUGUUGAACUUAUCUGAAACAUACUAGGUAAAAGUGUUAGUCCAACAAGAUAUAUGUUGACAUUAAUUACCAAAACCACCCAGGAAGCACUUGUGCUUUCAAUCUCCCCAUUUUUGGUAAUUGAUGACAACAUACAUCAAAGCUUUAGAUAAAGAUAUAGAGAAUAGCAAGUAAAGCUUUGGAAAGACAUGUAACAUGCAUAGACUCCCCCUACAUGUAUGCAAUCAUGUGAAUAUUGAACAUAGAAGCAUGUGAAUGCGUAAACAUGACAGAGUAAGCAAUGUGUUACAUGUAUCUUGGCUAUAUGCAUCAGAGCAAAUGAUGUGAAUGUGAGAAAUGUACUUUCAUGCUCAUGAGUCCUUCUUGCCAACAGUAUGUACAUCAGCAAAACUUCUCAUUCACAUGACUGUGAUGCAUAUACUUACCUUGUGGUAUUGAGUUGACUUAGGAUGGGAUGAACCUGCGCAAACAAGGUUAAAUAACAUAGAUACACCUACUGACCAGAGCAAGCAAGAGAAACCACAAGAGAACCAAGACUGGGAUGACAUGUAGAGUGAGUACUAAGUAUCACAUUGGAUAUAGACAUGUCCUCAAAGGUAAAGAUAUGCAAUAAAAUCAGAUAUUUCCUUCCCUUAGAUGUCUUGCUCCCCCUGAAUCUGCAUGGGAUAUUGGGAGAAGAUAGGGAACAGAAAAUCAGAGCAACAAAAAAGGAAACAACAAAGCUUGAGCUAAAGCAAGCAACCAAACAUGUCUUUCCCCUCUUAAAGACAUGUGACAUCUCUCCUCUUGAACACCAAGCAUCAGAGGUCUUUGAUGAUAUUACUUUCUCCUAGUUGAGAAACUCUCUCCCCCUGAGUAUUCUCUCUUUCUCCCCCUAUAGGAAGGAUUAAGCUUUGAUGUGAUCUCUCUCUCCCCCUUUGACAUCAAUUUCCAAGAAGGGCUCUUCUGGACAUGUGAUACAAAUGGGUUGGUCCUCGAGUCACAGAGCAAAGCAGCAUGUCUAAUGUGAUGCUGGUAGAGGACAAGAAUCAUUGAGUGGAGCUGGAGCAAACAGAAAUCAGGAAUAAGUGGCAAGUUGGUUUCCCUGUGGUGGAAUCGGUGACUCCGAGUUGUGUGCUUCGAUUGCACCGAAAGAUUUCGGUUGGGCCCAAGAGAACAAACCGGUAUGACCGAGUUCAUUAGAGUGAAACCACUUGUCACCUCAGCUCACUAGACAAGUAAGAUCUCAUAAGGAUAUGCAAGGAAUUUACUGAAAGAUUUGCAAUGAAUUGGAUGCAGAAAAUGCAGAACAAAAAGGAAAGAAAAGAAACUAAAAGUUUUAGAUGAAGUUUUUUUUAGAACUUUAUCUAGAGAUGGUCAGCGAUAAAGUCACCCGUGUUAGAGUAUUUGACUUAGGAGUCAAGUGAGAGCACUUGAUCAUAGGUCAUACUCAUUGUUUAAGCUCAAAAUGGGGUUACCAUUUUUCAUUUAAGCCUUUUGAUGUAUUCACAUCUUGUCGAGUUGCUUUGACUCAUGACUUGGAGUAAAACUUCUCUAAGAUGGAAUAACAUACCUUGGAUGGUGGUGUUGAUCUUGCUCAUGUAGUUGAACUUGUGCGGGUUGCUCAAGGUUGAUGUAGUUCAUCAAGGGUUGGGAGCACCACUUGGAGUUUGAGUUCAUCUACCUAUAUGGGUUAGCUUUGUAAGGAAGAGCACUUGUGUAUCCAAAAUGACAAUCAUGAGACUCAACAUAGAAUUUGCCAAAGGAUAUGUUUGAAUAGUUUCGUGCUUCCUUGUCUUCAACCACCAUUGUGUAGAGACUUGGUGAUGUAGAGAUUGCUCAAGAUGUGAGUGAGUUGCAAUCUCAUAGAUUUAGAUUCAACCAAGUACCUACACGGGUUAGAAAACAUGCAAGGUACAAAUAUAUCCAAGACAUAUGAAUAGCAUCAUAAGAGAAAUAUCGAGGAUUAGUCAUAGGCUCAUGCCCCGCAUGUAUCAAAUGGAGUUCCUACUCCAAGUUUGAAGCAUCAAUGAUGUUCAAUUCACCUCUCAACCUGCAAAACACUUUCUCAUCAAGUGGUUUAGUGAAUAUAUCCGCCAAUUGCUUAUCAAUGUGAACAUGCUUAAGGUUAAUGUCCCUUUUUGUAACAUGAUCUCGAAUGAAAUGAUGAUGAACUUCAAUAUGCUUAGUUCGAGAAUGUUGCACGGGAUUGUGAGCAAUAUUAAUAGCACUUUCAUUGUCACAUAGCAAUGGAACAUGUUUCACAUAUAUCCCAUAAUAUUUAAGAGUUUGGGUCAUCCAAAGUAAUUGAGCGCAACAUGAACCAGCGGCAAUGUAUUCCGCUUCGACGGUGCAUAAGGAUACUGAGUUUUAUUUUUUGGAAGACCAAGACACAAGAGAUCUACCAAGGAAUUGACAAGUAUUCGAAGUGGAUUUUCUAUCAACCUUGUCUCCGGCAUAGUCCGAAUCAGAGUAGCCAACAAGAUCAAAAGAGGACCUCUUAGGAUACCAAAUGCCAAAAUUUGGUGUAUGGAUUAGGUAUCUCACUAUCCUUUUCACAGCCUUAAGAUGACACUCUUUAGGAGCAGCUUGAUAUCGUGCACACAUACACACACUUAGCAUAAUAUCGGGACGAGAGGCACAUAGAUAUAACAAUGAAUCAAUCAUAGAGCGAUAAACUUUUUGAUCAACCGGUUCACCAUCUUUGGUUAAAAUAAGAUGUCCACUAGUAGACAUGAGUGUAGUCAUACAUUUGCAUUCUUGCAUAUUGAACUUCUUAAAUAAGUCCUUAGUGUACUUCGUUUGAGAGACAAAUGUACCUUCCUUAGUUUGCUUGAUUUGCAAACCGAGAAAGAAUUUGAGUUCACUCAUCAUAGACAUCUCAAACUUCUCCGACAUUAGUUUUUCAAACUUCUCACUAAAAUGAGGGUUAGUUGAACCAAAUAUGAUAUCGUCAACAUAAAUUUGGCACACAAAUAGUUCUCCAUUAACCCUUUUAGUAAAAAGAGUAGAAUCAAUUUUACCAAUUUCAAAGCCUUUUUCAAUAAGGAACUUGGUCAAGCAUUUAUACCAUACUCUAGGAGCUUGUUUAAGACCAUAAAGGGCUUUGUGAAGUUUAUAAACAUGAUUAGGUUUCUUAGGAUUGACGAAGCCGGGAGGUUGCUUAACAUAAACUUCCUCAAUUUUGCCAUUUAGAAAAGCACUUUUAAUGUCCAUUUGGUACAAGGUGAUAUCAUGGUGAUUAGCAUAAGAAAGUAAGAUGCGAAUGGACUCAAGUCUAGCAACGGGAGCAUAUGUCUCACCAUAGUCCAUACCUUCAACUUGUGUGUAGCCUUGGGCGACGAGACGUGCUUUGUUGCGAACCACUUGUCCAUCUUCAUCUUGUUUGUUGUGAAACACCCAUUUGGUACCAAUGAUGUUGUGGUUGUUGUCGGGCUUCUCGACCAAUGUCCACACUUGAUUCUCUCAAAAUUGUGUAGCUCUUCAUGCAUAGCGUUUAUCCAGUCCGGAUCCUCCAAUGCUUCUUCAACCUUCAUAAGUUCAAUGCUAGAGAUGAAUGAGUAAUGUUCACAAAAGUUAGCUAAACGAGUUUUAGAGCGAGUGAUUCUCCCGGUUUGGAUAUCAUUGUAGAUUUGCUCGACGGGAUGAUCCUUAGCAAUUCUUGCUCGAACUCGUGAAAGAUUUUGCUUGGGUCGGGGUGGAACAUCCUCUUCAUCUUGUGCUUCUUCUUGGCCUUCUUCAUUGUUGACGUUGUCGUUCUUUUGUCGUGGUGUAGAAGGAGGUUGUUGAUGUUCAUCUUGGUGCGCUUCCUCGUUUUCUUCAUCUUGGCGUGUCCCACUUGUGGAUGCUUUCGUAUCAACUCUUGGUUCACCUUGUCGUGAGGUAGAAGCUUCCACUUGGACGGACGAGGUACUCUCCUUCACUUCCGUUGGACGAAUCUUGCCAAUGGACAAGUCUUGAAUUGCUUCCGAAUGGUCUUUGUCUCCUACAUCAAUUGGCAAUUGCUCUACUUGCGAGCCGUUAGAUUCAUCAAACUUCACAUCUACCGUCUCUUCAACCUUUCGGGUGAAAUUGUUGUAGACUCGGUAGUGUGAGAGUUUGAGCCAUAACCAAGUAGGAAACCUUCAUGAGAUUUAGGAGCAAAUUUAGAACGACGAUGCUUAUCAAGAAUGUAGCACUUUGAGCCGAAUACUUGAAAGUAUCCAACUUGGGGUUUGUUACCGGUGAGGAGCUCGUCUGCCGUCUUGCCAAGUAACUUGUGAAGAUACAAGCGAUUUGUUGUAUGACAAGCUGUCUCAACCGCUUCCGCCCAAAAGUGCUUUGGCGUUUUGUACUCAUCAAGCAUCGUUCUUGCCAUCUCGAUAAGAGUCCGAUUCUUCCUUCCAACAACUCCAUUUUGUUGAGUUUUGUACGUAGCCGAGAACUCGUGUGAAAUCCCUUCUUCAUCAAGAAAGGUGUCCACAUUUGCGUUCUUGAACUCCGUUCCGUUGUCGCUCCGAACCUUCUUGAUCUUUAUGUCAAACUGAUUUUGGGCCUUCCUAGCGAAGUUUUUGAAGAUCUUUUGGACCUGCGAUUUGUCAUCAAGAAAGAACACCCACGUAAAUCUUGAAAAAUCAUCAACUAUGACUAGACCAAAUGAGUUACCACCGAGACUCUUGUAGGCAUUUGGACCAAAGAGAUCCAUGUGAAGUAGCUCGAGUGGUCUUCUUGUGGUCAUGAUGUUCUUCGGGCGGUGACUUUCUCCAACUUGUUUCCCUGCUUGACAAGCACUACAAAGUCUAUCCUUGUCAAAUAUGACAUCUUUUAUUCCAAGGAUAUGAUCACCUUUAAUAAGCUUAUCAAGAUUUCGCAUACCAACAUGACCUAGUCUUCUAUGCCACAACCAACCUUUAGAAGAUUUGGUAAUUAAGCAAGUUCUAGGUUGAGCCUCUUUAGUGAAAUCAACAAUGUAAAGAUCUCCUCUACGUAUACCGGUAAAAGACCAUUUUAUGAUUGUCUCUACGAAACACUUGGCAAUCUACUUCAAUGAAUAAGACAUUGAAACCGAAAUCCGCAAGUCUAGAAACUGAAAGUAAAUUGUAUCCAAGGGAUUCAACGAGCAUGACAUUUUGUAUGGAGCUAUCAUGUGAGAUGGCCACCUUACCAAGGCCAACCACCUUACCCUUUGAAUUAUCACCAAAAGUGACAUAUUUUUUAGGACCGUCGUUUUCAGCAAGCUCACGGAACAUAUCUUUAUCUCCGGUCAUAUGAUCAGUACAUCCACUAUCAAGGACCCAUUCCUUUCCUCCAGCCAUGUAGUCGCGAAGAUUUGCCAUAAGACCAAAAUGCCUCAUUGCAUCAUCAAGAUCAUAGUCACUAUCAUCAUCUUCAUCAUAGUAUCCAUGUUCAACAUCAUCUUGUGAUUGAUCAAUUCCUAAAGAGGGUAAUUCAUUAGAUAAAUGAUCAUCACAAUGGUUAUCUUUAUGAAUUCUAAUAGCUUUGGAUAUGAUAUCCCUAAUGAUUCCAACAUUUCUUUUAGCACGCACGAGAUUGGUAAGCUCAAAUAGAUAAUCACCAAAACUAGGAUCACUAGAGUUCAUCUUACUCAAGGCAAUAGACUUAUGAAGAAUUUCGUCUAAAUUUUUCAAGGAAUAAUCUGGAAAUCGUUCCUCAAGAAAUCUCCAUAUGGUGUAGGCAUACUUGAGAGUAGGCAAACAUCUAAUCAAGUUUCUAGGCAAGCCUCUAAUGAUGAGCUCAACAGUUCUAAGAUUGUGAAUCAUGUCAAUAUAUUCAUCUAGGGUAGGGUGCAAAGGAUCAACAUGAGAUGCACAAGGGCUAGUAAUGUACUUGUUCAAAUGAUAUUCAUUAAAAAUCUCAAGCAUUUCAUUUUUCUACUCAUGAAAAUACUCUCCAUCAAGAAUAGGCACUCUAUGUCUAAGACUCCCCAAAAUAGACACAUCCAUCUUCCUCCAAUGGUGUUUAAACCAAGGCAAUGGAGACCAAAGCUCUGAUACCAAUUGAAAGGAUCGAGAAGAGGUGUCUAGAGGGGGGUGAUUAGACACUAAGUGCCAAAAGUUGCAGUUUUUAAUAUUCUUAAAUUUAAAUGGAGUUUAAGCACAAGUUUAACAAACACAAUACAUAUCAAGCAAGCAUGCAAUGAGUAUAUGAGCAGCGAAAAGUAAAGCAUGCAACUUCCAAGAAUGUAAAGAGAAGGGUUUGGAGUAUUCAAACGCAAUUGGAGACACGGAUUUUUUGUCGUGGUUCCGAUAGAUGGUGCUAUCGUACAUCCACGUUGAUGGAGACUUCAAUCCACGGAGGGUAACGGUUGCGCGAGUCCACGGAGGGCUCCACCCACGAAGGGUCCAUGAAGAAGCAACCUUGUCUAUUCCAUCACGGCUGUCACCCACGAAGGACUUGCCUCACUAGCGGUAGAUCUUCACGAAGUAGGCGAUCUCCUUGCCCUUACAAACUCCUUGGUUCAAAUCCACAAUCUUGUUGGAGGCUCCCAAGUGACACCUAGUCAAUCUAGGAGACACCACUCUCCAAGAAGUAACAAAUGGUGUGUUGAUGAUGAACCCCUUGCUCUUGUGCUUCAAAUGAUUGUCUCCCCAACACUCAACUCUCUCUCACAGGAUUUGGAUUUGGUGGAAAGAACAUUUGAGUGGAAAGCAACUUGGGAAAGGCUAGAGAUCAAGAUUCAUAUGGUUGGAAUGGAAUAUCUUGACCUCAACAUAAGUGUAGGUGGUUCUCUCUCAGAAAAUGUGUAUUGGAAGUGUAGAUAUGUUCUGAUGGCUCUCUCCACGAAUGAAGAGUGAGUGGAGGGGUAUAUAUAGCCUCCACACAAAAUCUAACCGUUACACACAAUUUGCCAAACUCGGUGGGACCGAAUGGUUAAACUCGGUCGGACCGAUUCAGUAAACUUAGUGACCGUUAGGAUUUUCGGUGGGACUGAGAUGCAACUCAGUAGGACCGAUAUGAUUAGGGUUAGGGCAUAACGUAAUCUUGGUGUGACCGAUUACACAAACUCGGUGGGACCGGUUUUGGUAAUAAGCUAACCAGAAAGUUGGUCAAGCAAAUUCGGUGAGACCGAUUACACAAACUCGGUGGGACCGAUUUUGGUAAUAAGCUAACUAGAGGGUUUGCAUUGUAAUCUCGAUAGUACCGAUUGCUCAAACUCGGUGAGACCGAUUUUGGUAAUGGACAUACAUAGAGAGAUUACAAUCCCAUCUCGGUGAGACCGAGAUCCCUAUCGGUGAAACCGAUUUGCUAUGGUUUGUGGCAGUGGCUAUGACAUCUGAAACUCGGUGGCGCCGGAUAAAUAGAAUCGGUGGGGCCGAGUUUGACUUUUGAUUUAGGUCAUAUGUGGAUGUGGAAAGGUAGUUGAGGGUUUUGGAGCAUAUCAAUAAGCAUUUUGAGUAAGCAAGCCAUUAAGCAACACCUCAUCCCCUCUUGAUAGUAUUGGCUUUUCCUAUAGACUCAAUGUGAUCUUGGAUCACUAAAAUAGAAAAUAUAGUCUUGAUCUUGAAGCUUGAGCCAAUCAUUUGUCCUUAGCAUCUUGAAAGGGUUCCACAUCCUCUAGUCCAUGCCACUCCAUUGUUGAACUUAUCUGAAACAUACUAGAUAAAAGUAUUAGUCCAACAAGAGAUAUGUUGAUAUUAAUUACCAAAACCACCUAGGGAGCACUUGUGCUUCCAUGUAGCCACCACAUGCGACAUUAGACGGCUCGACGGAUGUUCAUCACUCAUCUUAAGGACCUGGAAAAAAAAUCAAAGAUGCAAAUCUUGGCAUGAACGAAGCUAGCAAAAAGGAUACCAAGAUCCAUACUACAAGCUGUUUGUACAAAAUCAUAAGUUAAACACACUCAGUUAUCUACCACAGACUAAUCAAAGUUACAAGUUUACUCAAGGAAUCAAGAGCUACCUAUGGUAAGGUGUCAAAUCUAUUCUUGAGGUCCAAUGAACAACAUGUAUUACAAAUUAUGCAAUUUGCAUGCGUUCCUAGCAAUAUCGUUUAAAUGCAGCGUGUCUUGCAUCAUAUAUCGGGACUGAGAGGGGGAACUUACAGUCUGCACGUCGGUGUCAUCGAGAGUGAAAAGGACCCGCGCAUUGCAACGGGAGAAAAAAACAUAAUCUUCAAAGUCCAUGAAAACAUUUUGCUGCAUCACCAAUAACAUUUUGGCGAACAUUUUGUUCAAUUUUCUUAACAUUUUUCUAUACACCAACUUUUUUUUAAAAUGAUGAUUUUUUUAUUUCCCAAACAUUUGUUUUAAAAAACGCGAAUAUUUUUUGAAUAUGCGAACAUCUUUAAAAGAAUAUGAACUGAUUUUGAAUUCACAAACAUUUUAUGAUUUAUUGAGAAUUUUAUUUAAAAAUUCUCUUUUUUAAUUUUUGGAACUUUUUUAAGUACCAAAUUAUGUGAUACCAAAAAAUAAAGAAAUUUUCUUAGAUCAGAAAACUAAGAAUGCUAGAAGCAAAUUAAUUCAGGAGAUGAUUUCAUGAGUAAUUGAUGCUAUUCUGCAGCAGGGAAUGAGGAAAAAAAUAGAAUGAACAUAUCACAUACUUGAACAAACCAAAUUAGCUGCAGGCAAGGUAUCUAUAAAAAACUUAUCUGCCCAGAAUAGAAAUGUGAUACAUCCACGCGUAUUUCAAACUGAAGGCCUCGUCCUCAUAGCCAAUAUGUAUAAUAAUACCAUUCUUCCGCAUGCUCUCCCUAAACCAUACAAAAAGCAUUGAAGAUCUUGAAUGCGGUGAGAAGAGGAAGAGCAUAUUUGCCUUUUCAUACAAAAGAUUGUAUUACCCUGCUCCAAUCAUACUUUUGCUUCUGGGAUCGGAAAACUGCAAAGGACUGUGUUGUAGGUUCUCAGAUUAAGGGGAGGUUGAGAACGACUAACCACAGUAGCGUGAAAUUGGAUAUUAAAUCCGGUUCGUGGCAUGCAUUGCUAGUGAUCGAGGAGUAUCAGGCCUGUGGAAGUCUUGUAGUUCCGUGUUGACCUUGAAGAUGGCCGGGCGGAGAUGUCAUGAACACGCCAGGGAGAACUUUAUUAGGGUAAAACAACCAUCAUGACCGUGGAACCUGAAUAUCCCAAAAUCAAAACAAAGAAAACCAUAUAACCUGAUCACCUCUUGAUGCCCUGCUUGUGGAUCAAUUGGCGCGAGCUUGGUGAUGACCGUGGACAAAACUGGUAGAAUGACCCAAACACCGCAACAACGACAAAGAGACGAAGACGAACGUACAAUCCGUGCUUACCUCCUCCUUCCCUCGUGCGCUACACCAGGAGGGGAGCGCCCCAGCAUCUGACAAAACUGGUAGAAUGACCCAAACACCGCAACGACGACAAAGAGACGAACGUCCAAUCCGUGCUUGCCUGGAGGUCACGUACGUGUUGUAUGUAGAUGUAACAUUAUACACGAUGGAAGUGUAUCCAGUCAGGGUAGAUGAGCACCUGGGUGUUGUGACUGUUGUCACUGCUGCGGCGGGGAGCUGGAAGUUGCCGAGCUAACUGCGGAAGAUCUGGAUGGCUGGUGGCCAUCAUGUUGAUCAGCAUGUACACCAUCAUGACCAGCGUGGCAAGAGGCGCAAGCAGUCGUAGCUCCAGCAAUGGUGUCGUGCCGCGCCGCAGUUGGACAGCAGCGUGUAUACAAUUUCAUAUAAGCAACUUCCAUUGUAGGAUUCAGAUUACAAACUUUAGGAAACAUGUCGAUUACUGUACUGGAGGUCUGGAGCAAACACUGACCAGUGGAAGACGGAUGAAACUCAUCCCGAUUUUUCCAAUCAACUUGCGGUAACUCAUAGUAAUCCUACACACGCAGAUUUCCCAUGAGAAACUUACUCACAAUUAAUCUACCAAGCCACAGGCUACAGUACUCACGGUGGAUGAAUAGAAGAGGCAAAGGCAUGGAUGUCGACUUCACCUUGGUCUUGGAGCCGAAGACAAAGGAUAUCCGUGUCGAAAUCGACGACAACCUCUUCACUCAGCCGCGUGGCUUGUCGUCGUUCUCCCACUCCCACAUCGUUCCCUCCCCCUCGCCUCGCCGGAUUCCUUCGUUGUGCGUCCUGCAGGAAUUGGACCUCAUGGGUGCGCCACAAGCAAGAAAGAUUCUAGACGUUUGGUGCUCCUCCGUCUCUAUAGGAUCUGCCCCUCACAUCCUCUCUCCCGAGCCAAUUUAUGGGAGGAGUUAGACAGGCGAUGAGAGAUGCGGAGUUAGAAUCCUGAGGGGUCACGAGAAAGAUUGGGUGAUGGGCGACGCCGAGGGGCGGAGGGCCGGCGACGGGGGGCGACGGGGGGCACCGCGCGGCGAUGGGGGCCAGGGGCCGGCGGCGCACGGUGGGGCGUGGGCGGGAGGUGGUGGCGCGAUGGAGGCGGAGAUGGGAAGGCAGGGUCGUGGGUGGGUUUUCUUUUCUCUCCUCUGUACCGGUUCGGUUGACUUACACGACGACUGCGGGUUCAAUCUAUAUUACUAUUAAACAAUCGAGUUGUGACAGAAACAUUACAUCUCAGCCAUACUUUUAUCAUCUCUCAAUGGAUCAGAUUGCCUUAAUGUUGUAUCACAUCAUUUAUCAUAAUCAAUUAACAAUAAUUAUCAUGAUUUACGCCAUCAUAAUUACGCAAUAAUUACCACGAUUUCGCUCCAACCUAGGCCUAUUUUAAUCAUAUCAAUUAGCAAGAAUUGCCAUGAUCUACGCCAUCAUAUUUUUUUUGAAACUCGGCAUUGUAUGCUGCGUACAUAGAAGAAAAAAAAUAUCAAUUAGCAAUAAUUACCAUGAUCUACGUCUAUCAUGUUUUUUUUUGAAACUCAGCCUUGUGUACUGCGUACAUAGAAGGAAAAAAGAAAAAGGUCUGGCCCAUGUUCGCAUGUAGGCAGAGAAUAACGGGCAAACCAAAGCACUCGUUUCUCUGUUUGUUUGGAUCAGAGGAUCGAUCAGACCCUGGCCUUGAUUUUGAUCGUUCUUGACUUCCGUCACUUCUUUUUUUGUUCACCAGUUUGAGUGUUCGUCGUCUUCGACGGCUCGGCUCUUGGUUUGACUCCCCGGUCUUCUCGUCCCGAGGAACGAUAGUGACGUGGGCAUGCAGCACUACGCGGCUAGGACAGGUACGAGCACGUCUCCUAUGCCUUCACAUGUACUAUUAAUUACUCAAACUUGUCUGAAACUGGGGUUCAGAGAUCGACCAUCAAUUCAUCCUGGAUCAAAUCCAUUUUCGAGGAACAAAAUUCCUGAUCAGCGCCAGGCAAAUAAUUAAAGCCUGAUCUCAUCGCAGCUCCAUUUAAUUGCAUGCUCGUUGUGGGGAGAUUGGACGUACCUCCCACUAAGUAGCGGAUCCACCCGAUUAAUCCGGGCCAGCGAAUUCGUAUGCCACACACGUAAUCUCCAUCCAGUUAAGAUGGGAAUCCCUUCGCAGCAAGCGGAACAAUAGUAAUUAAGCUCGGUGCAGCUGGUUCGUACGUGGUACUGUGGUACGAGCAGCGCCCCAUACUUAGCAUAUGUCUUUCACUCCUAAAUAUGGAUUCUAUAGUUAAUGGCUUGGUAAAACUUUUGCUAAAUCACAUAUAAAUAUUACAAUUUGAUCCAACUUUACACAAUGCAGAUAUGAAAGGAAAAAUCCAAAUUGAUGUGAUAUGGGAUUCACACUGAUGUUUCAUGACCUUUGGUCCUUGUAAUACUGGAAGCAAUCCAAUCGCUUGUUCAGGUGUCAAAUAAGAUGUGCAUGUUUCCAACACUUAUCUUAAGGAGUGAAAUUAUUUUUCCACUGAAAAGGAGCAUGUGUCAUUUGUCUUCCCUAUCAUGUAAAAAACAUGUUUUAUUUCCCUUGAAUUAGAGUGAAAAACAGGGUAGACUGUUGGUUAAUGUGAUAUUCUAUUUUUGUCAGAUGGCUUGAAAUUUCUUUAACAUUACUUUUAAUGUUAAUGUCAUGUACCAUCAUAUUUAUAUCCAAACUUUGGCGUGAGGUUAUAUUGCCAGUUUAUGUUAUGUUCGGUUCACAAAUAUAUAUUGCCAGUCAAUGCCUUUAAGCUUUGUUGGUAGAUUCUGUCAUAAAAUCUAUUUCUACUUUUAGUGUAAAAUUGACUUAUACACAGUUUGACAUUUUCAGACAUUGUGCUUACAUGUGCUUGCUUUCGCUAUAUUUACUAUAGAUAGUGUUCUGACAGAUUUUAUAAAGUAUGUCGAUAGUUGAAUCAUGUAUCCUUGACUUGAUAGACAAGUUCAAAGAUUUACAUUCUUCAGAGUGCAUAACUGACACGCUAGAUACUAACAUCGACUGCUUGUAUAACCAACAUUUAGUUCAAGGAAGCUUCAGAUCUUACCUUGGAAAUUUCUUUUACCUCUUCUAUCGAGCACGGACAUGCUUUCCAAUUAUUGAUUACCUAUUUUACACACAAAAAAGUUCCCAAUAAUCUUUUCUACAAUAGUCCAACAUAAUCAAAGGAGUCACUAAAAUUAACCUAGAAAUACCAAGGGAACCUAUAGGCAUGGCCGCCACAAUAAUCAAUCCUCCUCCCUCGACACUUAUGCCACCACUCCCCUUCCCGUGAUUCAAUUUUCUCUCUAUUUCAUAACUCUAUGAUACGUGUGUUGCACGUGCAUACUUACUAGUUGUCUAAAAUACAGGGGCUUCUCUGCAAAUUGGCCAGUAUAUUUGGCAAUAGAUGUUUGUGAGUGAACACUUUAGAAAAACUGUAGUAUAUGUGCAAAUAAAAAACAUGUUUUCUUGCCAACUAAACAUGCAUAUUGGCCAAAAACUGAGAAAAUGUAUCCUGGCCAACUGAGACAUCUAUUCUAGCCAAUUAAAUGCAUUAACUGUCCAACUGAACAUGCAUGUUGGCCAAAAACUGAAAUAAAUGCAAUCUGGCCAGCUGAGACAUCUAUUCUAGCUAACUAAAAACAUUGAAUGUCCAACUAAAUAUGUAUGCUGGCCAAGUGGAAAAAUGCAUCCUGGCAAUUGAGACGUCUAUUCUAGCGAAAACCAAAAAUCUGUAGUGCAACAGUAAAAACACAAGAACUUUUGUCCAUGGCUAAUGAAGCCACAAACCAUAUUAACAUAUUCACACAUAUAAUCUUGUCCCACACAUAUAUUCUGGUCCCACACCUAUUGCAAACCAUAUUAAUGUGUUCAAAUAUACCAGAACUAGAAACAUAAACGGCGAUGAAAAACAUAUAACUAUAAUCUGUCCUCCAAUUCUUCUUUUUUCUUUCACUUGGAUUUUCCUUCUCAAAUGUAACAUCCAAUUAUGUGCAGAAAAAUCUAAAAAGAGCUCCUUGCGAAACGGAAACCUGCAGAUCAUUGCAACAAAACAAAAGGGAAAAAGUCAGAAAACUCUGUAGUAAAAAGAAGUCAUGCUCUUGCUAGUUAUUUACUGCAAACCGUGCAACUAAUAUAACAACUCUGUGCAAACAAAAAAAUUCAUAAUUGUUAUAAUAAAGAUUAUGCUACAGUCAUGUUGCUUUUGGAACUAAGAAUAUCACAAAAUGGUGUGCAACUGCCUAUUUACUAAGUUUUUAGGUUGUUUGAAAUACUCUUUUCUGUGGUUACCAACUGAUGACAUCAAUUUCUUCUUUUAUAUAUGUGCAGGGAGUGUGUGGCAGCAUCCAAAAAAAGGAAAAAAAAUGCUUGAUCUCAAUGAGUUGCCCGCUGAUCUCAAUGAGCUUCCUCAUGAUAUGGAUCAGCAGCAACCCAGCAUACAACAAGGAAAUUGGACAGAAAAUGGUCGAUCUGUUUGCUACACGCAGGCAAGUCGUGAUGGUAACCCUACGAGCCAUGACAAUGUGGCAGGCCAGUCAUUAGCCCGUGGUGCCCCUAUAGUGGUGUCUUUGCAGUCAGAGAGCCAUACUCUUGAUGACAUGGGAACCGAGGCAAAUGUUCCUGGUCCAACAAGGACUGAGCUAGGAGCUGGGGCUGUUGACGGAGUUGUGCAAGGAGAAGAAGGAGAGGAUGAGGCUAGUUCUCAAUCUAUGGAACCUUAUGUUGGCAUGAGGUUUGACAGCCUUCAAAUUGCUAAGGAUCACUACAACAGCUAUGCACUACAGAUGGGUUUCUCUAUCAAGAUGAACACCUCUAGACGGGCACCCCGCACUAAUGAAUUGAUAAAACAAGAGUUUUGCUGCAACAAGUUCAAGAAGUCCAAAGAUGAUGAUGGAGGAGCUGAGGCUCCUCCUGUCCUGGACCCUAUUCCAGAUCCAAAAUCUGUUGACAGUGAUGAGGAGAUGGAAGAAGAACCUCCAAUAUUUGCUGAAGAGGAGGCUGGUACUAGUAAGAAGAAGAAGAAGAAGCGCAAACGCGAGACAAUAAAGCAGACUGAAUGCAAGGCGAAAAUGUUGGUGAAGCUAAUAGAUAAGCGAUGGGAGGUGACACACUUUGUUCGUGACCACAGUCAUCCGCUCAUGAACAAAAAUUCAUUGUCCAAAUAUUUGAGAUCCCACCAAGGCAUCUCACCUGAUGAAAAGGAGUUUCUGCGCAUCUUGUAUAACUGCAACUUGACUACAGGUGUGGUGUUUUUCUAUAUCCCUUAAAGAAUUAAGUUUCCCUCUAGGUAGUUCAGUGUGCAACUGUUAUGGUACUACUGUGCAACUAAAAUGGCUUAACUGUGCAACUGCUAUCCAACUUCCCAUGUUGUUUGUAUAUCACUUUUGGUGCUUGUUGUGCAACUACAUUGUCUUUACUGUGCAACUACACAAUGUCCUGUAUGCAAAAACUGUAAAGUGUUUUUAAAAAGGUGCAGCUAGGUGUCCAUUUCCUGCGAUUAUCUUCUGUGACAACACAUGUCCUAUUACUGUGCAGCUGAAUGUGCACAUUCGUGCAACUAAAAAAGGAUAUACCGUUUGUUUUUGUAUUAUGCAGGACGAAUGAUGCAUGUAAUGGCAGAGUUCUAUGGAUCUGAGAUGAUGGUGCCAUUCGGACCAAAGGCAAUAACAAAUCUUUGUGCAAGUUUCCGUAGAGAUGACACAAAGGAGGGUGAUCUGAUUGAGAUAAUUGCGCACUUCAAGGAUAUACAAAAAACCGAUCCAGACUUCUUCUAUAAGGUGAAAUAGGAUGAAGAGGACAGAGUUGUCAACAUAUUUUGGGUGGAUGGCUUAGCUCGAAAAGCUUAUGCGGAGGCGUACCACGAUUGCAUAUCAUUUGACACCACCUACAUGACCAACAUGUACAAUAUGUCAUUCGCGCCCUUUAUAGGAAUAAACCGACAUGGCCAAUCUUUCAUGCUGGGUUGCGCUUUUGUGAGGCAGGAGUUGGCAUCGAGCUUUGAUUGGGUCUUUAGAGCAUUCCUAGAGGCUAUGGAUGGCAAACCUCCUGACAACUUCAUCACCGAUCAGGAUGGUGCGAUGAGGCAGUUAAUACAGAGCAUCUUUCCAACCACCGUGCACCGCUGUUGUCGAUGGCACAUCAUGAAAAAGGCUCAGGAAAAAGUUGGUUGGCUGCUGUGCCGGAAUCCAAGACUCUCUGAUGAUUUCAACAAGUGUGUUGACUUCAGCUUCACUAUAGACGAGUUUGAGCAGAAUUGGGCUGGGUUAAUGAUGAAGUACGAGGCUAUGACACACACACACACACACAUACACUUUGAGAAGUUGUACGAAUACAGGUCAACUUGGGUGCCGUGCUACUUCAAACACAGGUUAUUCCCCUUCCUCCAGUCUACACAGCGUAGUGAGGGGUUCAACACCGUCCUGAAAAGAUAUGUGAACACACACAACUCAAUGCUGAACUUCAUCAAGCAAUAUGAAAAAAACCAGAACCACAUCCUUGCCAAGGAAGGCUGCAAUGAUUACAGGACAGAACACCUUGAGAUUGAGUUGUAGUCCAACUUCCCAAUAGAGAAGCAAGCUUACAAAACCUAUACUAGGGACCUUUACCGCAAGUUCAAAGAAGAGUUUGAGCUGAUUGGAUGUUAUAAUGCAUUUCAAGUUGGUGCUGAUAUAUUUGAGCUCAGACCGAACCAGGAAUUUGUUGCCAAAUAUGGUUCUCGAAACUACUUGGUGCAGGCAAGGGUGGAGGAGGGUUCCUAUUUGUGUGAGUGCUGUAAAAUGGACAAGGACGGCGUCCUCUGGUGCCACAUCCUCAAGGUGUUCACCCAUAUUGGAGUUGAUGUCAUACCAGAAAGGUACCUGCUAAAACGGUGGACACCUACUGCUGUACCUAGUGCGCCAGGGACUGGUUAUGAGCAACCAGAUGAAAUGCCUCCUCAAUCAAAGAAGCAGAUAAGGGAGAGGAACAUGAUAUACGAUUUUCGGAAACUAGCAAAGUUUACGAGUGGUUCUAAUCCAGCACAAGCUAUUGUAUACAAGCAUAUGCGUGCAGCACGUACCGAGAUCGGCCACCUGAACAAGUCCAAGAAAAAGAAAAAACCGACUGCUGCCACGGGGCCAUCAGAUGAUGGCAACCCUCGAGGACCUCCUCCACCUCCAGGCAGCAAUCAGGGGGCUCAUCAUCCAGGUAAUUGCCUGCUCCAACUCCUGAUCUAACUAGGUGUGUAACUUCAGUUGCACACAUCAUCGUGCCCAGUUGCACACACCAUGGUAGCCAGUUGGACAGAACAGGCUGCCUAGUUGCGCACACUAUGUUAGUUCAAGCAUCAAGAUAACACAACUAACUUAUUUUCCUGUUCUGGAUAUAGGUUAUGUCAACCCUCAAAGACCUCCUCCCCCUCCUGGCUGUACACGGCAUCCUCCACCACCUCCUCCCCCGCGUGCUCCUCCCAAUGGCCCUACAGGCAGCACUCAGGGGGCUCAUCGUCCAGGUAAUUACCUGCCCCCAACUCCCCAUCAAACUAGUUCUGUAACUCCAGUUGCACACCUCAUGGUGCUCAGUUGCACCAAACAGGCUACCUAGUUGUGCACGCUGUGUCAGUUCGAGCAUCAAAAGAUAAACACAACUAACUUGUUUGUCCUAUUCUGCCUAUAGGUGAUGCCAACCCUCAAAGACCUCCUCUCCCGCCAGGCCCAACUAGCAGUGCCCUGCGUGCUACUCCCAAUGGACCUACAGGCAGGACUCAGGGGGCUCAUCACCCAGGUAAGUACCUUCACCGACUCCAAACAAAAACUAGGGUGUGUGACUUUAGUUGCACAUAUCAUAGUGCCCAGUUGAACAAAACAUGCUGCCUAGUUGUGUGCGCUGUUUUAGUUUGAGGAUCAAGCUAAAAAACUAACUUGUUUUUCAUGUUUUGCCCAUAGGCGAUUACAAUCUGAAAGUGCAUUAUAUCGACUAGAGGGGGGUGAAUAGGCGAUUUUUAUGAAAGUCUUCAAAACGUAGAAGUUAUGAAGACAAACAGUAGAGAUAUGCCUAUUACUAUGCAGCGGAAGUUAGACUACACUAGGCAAGCCAUGGUCAAGUAUCAACAAAGUGAAAGCACAGUGACAAAUAGCUGUAGUGUAAUUAGGAUCAGGUAGGAAGAUACUAUGAAGCCAAACAAAUCAUACAGUUACGUUGUGAAGACAAAAGAUAUAGCAAGCAUGCAAUGGCUUCACAAUGAGUAACAGUAAGUAAAAGGAAGUGAAGAUGAAACCAGUGACUCGUUGAAGACAAUGAUGUGUUGGACCAGUUCCAGUUGCUGUGACAACUGUACGUCUGGUUGGAGCGGCUAGGUAUUUAAACCUUAGGACACACAGUCCCGGACACCCAGUCCUGAACACGCAGCUCAGGACACCAAGUCCUCACCGUAUUCUUCUUGAGCUAAGGUCACAUAGUCCUCGCCCAAUCACUCAGGUAAGUCUUCAAGGUAGACUCCCAAACCUUCACAGACUUCGUUCACUAGCAAUCCACAAUGUAUCUUGGAUGCUCAGAAUGCGACGCCUAACCGUCUGGAUGAUGCACAGUCCUCAAGUGUAAUAAGUCUUCAGAUCACACAGACAAGAAGACUUAAGUGAUGCCCAAUUUACUCUGGCUCUGGGUGGUUAGGGAUUUCUCCUCGCUAGGAAUUUUCUCUCAAAGGCUUCGAGGUGGGUUGCUCUCAAAUGACAAAAGUCGUGCACUGAAAUCUGAGCAGCCAACCGUUUAUGGUUGUAGGGGGUGGGCUAUUUACAGCUACUUGGCAACCCGACCUGAUUUGUCCGAAAUGACCCUGGGUCACUAAGGAACUGACACGUGUCUCAACGGUCAGAUUUUAAACUCUCAUGGCAACUGUACUUGGGCUACAAGCAAAGCUGACUUGUCCGGCUCUGGACAAAGCGCUCUCAUUGUCUUCACUCGAAGACAUAGGUUUUUGGUUUAGGCAUCACUUCAGUCAUUCUGACUGGUUCUCCUGGACCCCACUUAACAGUACGGUGGUUCCUAUGACUCAACACAAAAAGAAGAAGAACUACGAAAGAUCUAAGUCUUCGAGCUCCAUAGGCUUCAUAACGUGUCUUCUUUUAUCAUAGCCUUCAAUGUGAAUAUCUUCAUAUACCACCUUUGACUUCAAUGUCUUCAUACAUUUUUAGAGGUCACCUCUGGUAGUAAAACCGAAUCAAUGAGGGACUUCUACCUGUGUUAUCCUGCAAUUCUCACAAACACAUUAGUCCCUCAACUAGGUUUGUCGUCAAUACUCCAAAACCAACUAGGGGUGGCACUAGAUGCACUUAUAAUCUCCCCCUUUUUGGUGAUUGAUGACAAACUAGUUGAAGUUUUCAACGGGGAAUAUAGUCUGUGAAAUUGUAAAGAAUAAGGAAUUGUCUUCAUAAGUUGUAAGGGUUCCCCCUGAAGAUGUGCAUAUAAGUUAGUUUGCUUUUGGAAUGCAAAUGCACAUGGCAGGUUGUACUUGUGGAGAUCCACUUCAGCUUAUGAUGACAAUCCACUAUGCAUGUGAAAGUAUAUGAAGAUAAUGACAUGCAUAAUGGAAAAUGAACAUCUGCAGAAUGAGCUAAGUGCGGAAUUUAUCUUCGCAUAACAGGGUGGCAAACAAGUAGCAGACGACCAUCUGGUUUAAGUGUUACAACUCAUAAGAACCAAAUGUAGCAAAAAAAAGAGUUGUAAGCACGAAGCAAAAUAUAAGGCACCCGCCCAUAUGAACCCGCUUGAAGACUAUCAAUAUCUCAUAUGCUUCUCCCCCUUUUGUCAGUAAUGACCAAAAAGGGUUGAAGACAUAGAGUCUCUACUCGUUCCCAUGAGGAGUAGGUGAAGUAGCAGGGUUGUUGGCAUUGUUUGGCGGUGCAGAAGAGCUUGGAGGUGCUGAAGCAGGUGGUGGUGAAGUAGCAUCGUCUUCUUCCUCAAUAAUUCUGGCAGUGAUUGUGGCAGCAGAGGAAGAAAACUCAGAGUCUUCAAGAGAUGGAUUCCCCAUCAGCACAGCUCUUCGAGGAGGUGUGGAGUCAAAUUUGAAUCUCUCAGUGAAGCCAUCCUCUUGAAGAUCAGCUUCAGAAAGCAUCAUCGUUAGCCCUUUCCAUGUGCGGCGACAGGUUUCAUGGGCAACGAAAGCGUUCUUGGUGGCAAGAUUUCGGAUGCGAUUUACAUCCACCAAGAGGUUUUUCAUCUGUCUCUUCAACCAGUCAUGAUGCCUAUCCUGCUUUUGAUGAAGGGCCACAAGAAGCUCUCGGUCGUUGAGAACACGAGUGCGCUUCUUGGGUCUGGAAGCAGUUGCACUGUCAGUGGUUUCAGUUGAAGCAGGGUGUGGUGCACGUGUAGUGCCAGCCAAAGGAUACACCCUGGAGAUGGCUUCAACACCUUCAACGUUUUGAGUGAAGCUCUGGUGUUCUGCAUUCUGAAGACUCAAAGAUUGCUUGGCAGGCUCAGGAUAUAUAGCUUCAGCAGAGGUAUCCACAUCUGGCAAGAAGAUCUGAUGGUUGCGGGCUGAGGGCUAAUAUGAGAUCGCAGAGUGAAGCUUGAUCAGUCUCAUUACCCAAGGAGCAUAGAAUUUCAAACCAAGUAAAUCUGAGCCUGAUGCAGCAAGUUGGUGUAUGAAGAAGUCCUGUGCGUUGAAGCAUUUGCCAUGAAGUAUACAAAAUAUCAGAGUCUUCAUUGCACCCUCGAUCUUGGCAUUUGGAGAGUGCCCUUUGAUAGGCCAGAGAGUCCGCCGGAUAAUGUGAUAGAUGGUUCUGGGCAGGUACUCAAAGUCUUCAACGAAGAACUCUGUUGGAUAAGGAGCAUCGUGGGGCAAUGGCUUCAUUAUGGAGAGCAUCUGACUCAUAUUUGGUUCAGGCCUCUGGAAUAUGCUCUCAAGAGCUUCAGUGUGUAGUGGACAUCCUUCCUCAAAGAAUUCGCCAGGAGUGGGCAGGCCGGUGAGCUCAAUGAUAUCAAAUGCAUUGGCUUCGUGAUGGACAUUGCCGGUCAUCCACUGCAGGGCCCAAGUCUUCGAAUCUCUGUUGUAUCCUUUGAUGUGGAGGGUGGCAUAGAAUUGCAGCAGAAACUCUUCAUUCCAGUGCUCUUCAUCAGUUACAAACUGUAGCAGACCCACUUGCUUGAAGCUAUCCAACGCUUCCUCUAAACAGGGUAGACCAGCAAUGGCUUCAACAUCAAGGCGCUUGUGCGGGAAGAUGCGACCUUGGUUGUAUAGGAUGCAUGAAUAGUAGCUGCGCUGAGGAUAGCUCCAGAACCGAUCUGAUGAAAUCCUUUCCCUUGAAUAGGGGUUCUUGGAGCUGUUGAAGAACGUAUUAUCUGCCUUGAAGCUAUUGAUGUUAAAGGAGCCAGGUGCUGAUGCAGGACCUGGGAACCUCGGCAGCCUUGGGACUGGCUUCUGGACAUGAGGCCUGUGCUCAACAUGGUAAUCAAAUUGAGGACAUGCAGCAAACUCAGGAACAGAAGUGUCUUGAUCAGUAGCUUCGCUGUCUUCUGAAGCUUUUGGUGGGGAGGGCUCCACAUUGGCUUCAGUGUUGGUUGUGGCAGCCUCAAUAUUUUCAGCCUCCGCUUGACUAGCUGGAGGGUCGGUCACACGCACAUUCUCCUGGAGAACUGCUUCUUGGUGGAGCAUAGGAGUGGGCUCUUGUGGUGCUUCUUCUGCGGCUGAUGCAGCCGGAAUGUCUUCAGCAUAGACUUGAGGCCUUGGACCUUUGCGAAGCCUGCGGAAUGCAGACGACGCCUGUGGGGUUGGAGUGGGCUGGGCCUCAUUGUCUUCUUCCUCUUGAGGGUGAUCCGCCCAUGAAGCAUCCUGUGCAAUUGGCAUCAGUGGAUGACCAAUGCUGAUGAGUUCGCUGUGUUCUAAUUGAGGAAGGGCUGCAUCAUCUUCUACAUUGUCACGAUGACCAAUGUCUUCAUCAGCGAUGGGAUCAGCUGCUAGAAUGUCUUCAGGAACAGGAGCCUCUAUGGAAGCAGGCUCAUGCACCGUCAGUUGACGUUCUGCGUCAGGGUGAAUCAUAGAAAUAGGUUCAACUAUCAAGGGCUCUGUGGGAGCAGCCCGAGAUUUCUUGGUCUUUCUCUUUUUCUUGCUGGGGGCAGUAGGAGAGGCUUCAGAGCUUUUUCUCUUCCUGGCUUCAGCCUCGGCAAUUCUUGUCUUCUUGAGCUCUGAAGCUGUUAACCGGCUCUUUGGCUUUGAGCCAGUCGUUGCAGUUGGGAAGACAAGCGGAACUGCGUCCUGCCUUGGUGCCUCUGGUUCAGCUGGAACAGUCUUCUUCUUUUUCUUUGCGGCCAUCUUGGGGUCGAUGCCAGGACGCCCAAGUGCCUUGCGCUUCUCAGCCUCAUUGUAGGCUUGCACACAUCUGUCAGCCAGAGACUUCAUUCGCUCACGUGAACCCUGAGCUUCUGCACGCUUCUUCAGAAAGUUUUCCUUAAGCUCAUGCAACAUGAUCUUGAAGCUCUUUACUUCUUGCACGCUGAGCUUGGCCAUAUGCUUCUUGAACUGAGCCUUUUCAUGAUCAAUUUUCUGCUUCAUCUCAACUAUGCGCUGGGCAAUGGCAAGUUCUGAAGCAAUAGCGCCUUGGAAGGCGACACUGAGGCCAACGGGCAACUGUAGAUCGUCAAAGCUAAUGUUUGGUGUGGCAAACCACUCGUCAAUGAAGUUGUGGAUGAUGGCGACAUCAAAGAGAGGCAGAUUGUUGAAGAUUUCUGCUUCCUCUUUGCUCUUGAUGAGUUGCUCAAGAGUGUCAUCUCCAAGAUCUUCAUCACUCGACAGAUUAAUGGCUUCGCUGCGCAGGAUGGCAGCAGCUGUGAGCUCUUUGCCAGUGUGAGACAGAGGCAUCUUGGCCUUCUGGGGCUUGGAGACGCGGGAUACGUCUUCAGACCGCACACAGUCUUCAGGAGGUGCAGUUGCCAAUGGCUUCGCCCUUGAGAUUUUUGGUGAAGGGGCCGGCUUUGAAGCUUUUGGCUUCUUCGACUGCUUUGGCUUCGGCACAGCAGGAGCUUCAUUAGAUUCAGAGUCAGCUGGAGGGUCAUUCACGGCAGUCCCUUGGACUAAGAUGCGGGUGAUGAGGUCCUCAAGGUUGGCAUACGGACCGAUGAUAUUGGGUUCUGUGUCGCGUGUGCCAUCUGCCCUUGGUGCGGAGGGACCAGGGUUGAAGUCUAACCCCAACUUCUUCUUGUUCUGCUUCGCUGAUUGUUGGGCAAACUGGAAGUUGCGCUUGAACAGAUUGUCGUCACGACACCAGAGUAGUGACGACGGAUGUGCAUCAUCAGGCUGUGGCCCACGAACCAUGCAUGGAUAGAAGCUUUGGGCAAUAGCUUCAUCUCUAGACCUGGGUACAAGGUUCUUGUAUAAGAUGUCUCCCCACGGUCUUUUGAUGGCACUUUUCUCAGCAUAUUCUUGGGUUGUGAAGCGGUAUUUGAACCAUUGUUCUGCCCAAUAGCGUCGAAUCCAUUGGAUUCGGGUCUUGUGCUGCCCAUUAUUCUCUUCAGGAUCUGUUUUAUACAUUUCUGCCAGUUCAUCAGGCAGAUCUUUGGAUGUUCCUCCACGUCGCUGUCUGCCCCCCUUCCUUGCUGCUGUUUCUGAAGCCAUAAACUUUAACUUGAAAGGCUUCAAGACGUUCAAAGGCUUCAAAGGCUUUUUCUUGCUGAACCAACAGGAACUGGCUUCAGGAGAAUUUAUGUGAUGCUUUAGGAAUUCUGCAAAUGAAUGCAGACUAUGAGAACCAAAGGAUUCUCCCACGGACAUGUACCUGUGACAACAUUAAGGUGCGAGGGAAGGGGAAGAGGUCAUAUGCAUUCUCAGAAGAUUUUGAAGAUAAAUCAGUUUAGAAGACAUUGACCUCAUCGUGCGAAGACAUUCACUCAUAGAUAAGAAGUUGGUUCCAAAUUUGUAUGAAUCCACUGAUCAGUACAAGUGAGGAAUCUAACUACUUUUGGAGCACAAGUGAAUAUUCCAGGCAUGUUAUGAGAUGCAGUUUGAGAGAGAUCUAGUUUGUGUGAGCAGAAACUGCUUGUGGUAGAAAGUGACAGAUCAAUAGGAUCAACGUUGCUGUAAAAAGGCAGUUUUAUUUACCACACUGAGAACUGCUAGACGGAGCGAGAGAUGAGGCCGAGCAGUUCACUCGUCUGUGCCCUAACUUGGCGACGGAGGAGACCUACGGCGACGGCGGAGAGGACGAUGUCCGCGGUCGGCGUGAAGACGGCGUCGGAGAGGUUGCGGCAGCGAAGCGCUUCAUCGCCGGCGUCGUCGAGAGCUAGCGGUGGCGCUAGGGUUCGUGCGAGGGUGGAAGAAGAGAUAGUUACCGCUGUAAGUGUGUAUUUAUAGGCACAGGGGCGGCACUGUGCUAUUACACAGGUGCCCCUGACGAUUCGCAUUAGAGUAAUACGUGGCCAUCAUGCGGUAUUUUGGGGGCAGUUCCACGUCCCACGCACGCCUGGAUUGUCGGGUGGUCAUUCCUACUUCUCCGGAUUUCAUGUGGAUAAAUGAGCAUUGAAAACAGACUUAAAUGUUGUCUCUGUGUCUUCUGCUGACAAGGACGCAGAGAAGACAUUUGACAGUUUCAAUAGAAUGCAUAUGACUUGGAGAGAUAGAAUUUUGAGAUAGAGAGCAUAGAGAGGUUAGAGUCCGAUCACAUUCACUUAGUUCAAAAGAUUCAACAAGAAGACAUAACUAUAAGUGAAUGCUGUAGAGGACAGAACACCAGUAUAUAUAUAUCUCUAUAUAAUCAACAUAGUGAAGAUAAUCAUGAAGACAUGUUGAGAUUGAAGCCAAACCAAAUGUGAAGACAUUGCAAGGUAACGCCAUGAGUGAAACACUUCAAAAUAGAACGUUUGAUGGUGGCGUUACCCACCGUAUAGGAAGUAUUAGACCCAGACACGGCGCACAAUUAUAGUGGCGCUCCGAAGUCAAAUUCCACAUCAAUGUAUUCACACUUAGAAUGUAUAUCUUCAUUGAUUGAAGAUACACUUUACUUCGUGUGUUGUACAUCUAAGUCAUCAAUAUGCAUAAGAGUUAGGAUGUGUGCCUGAUCACAGGACAUUUGAGGAUUCUAAGAUAUUUAGCUCACACCGUAACUUGCAAAACCUCUUCUCAUCCAAGGGCUUGGUGAAGAUAUCUGCCAAUUGCUCUUCAGUGUUGACGUGUAUGAUAUCAAUGUCUUCCUUCACAACAUGAUCUCUGAGAAAGUGAUGACGAAUUUCAAUGUGCUUUAUCUUCGAGUGCUGAACUGGGUUGUUGGCAAUCUUGAUGGUGCUUUCAUUGUCGCAGUAAAGUGGCACUUGCUUCAGAUGUAUGCCAUAGUCCUUGAGUGUUUGCUUCAUCCACAGAAGCUGAGCGCAGCAAGAUCUAGCAGCAAUGUAUUCAGAUUUAGCAGUGGAGAGAGAUACACAGUUCUGCUUCUUUGAAGACCAACAUACAAGUGAUCGUCCCAGAAAGUGACAUGUGCCUGAUGUAGACUUGCGAUCAACUUUGUCACCAGCAUAAUCAGCAUACGAAAAUCCAACCAAAUCAAACUCUGAGCCCUUUGGAUAUCAUAAUCCUAGAGUUGGGGUGUGAGCCAAAUAUCAAAGAAUUCGCUUCACAGCUAAGUGAUGCGAUUCCUUUGGUGCCGCUUGAAAUCGAGCACACAUGCAAACACUAAGCAUAAUAUCUGGCCUAGAUGCACAUAAAUAAAGUAAAAAAAUAAUCAUGGAGCGGUAUACCUUUUGAUUGAACUCUUUAUCAUUGUCGUCAGGACCCAGAUGAUGUUUGGCUGGCAUUGGUGUUGUGAAGCCUUUGCAGUCCUGCAUACCGAACUUCUUCAGGCAAUCUUUGAGAUACUUCUCUUGAGAUAUGAAGAUGCCAUUGCGUUGUUGUCGUAUUUGAAGACCAAGGAAGAACUUCAGCUCCCCCAUCAUAGACAUCUGAUAUUGCUCUUGCAUCAUAUAGCCAAACUCUUCACUGU
rnacentral:lncRNA from 1 species